rnacentral:ribozyme from 1 species
AUGGAAAAAAAAAAAAAAAAAAAAAAAAAAAAAAAAG